rnacentral:lncRNA from 10 species
AAAAAUAAAAGUAGCAUCCAAGUGGGAGCAGGAUGUUUUGCAAACAGUUCCUCCAUGCUUAUAAAUUCAUAUUGGAUGUGCAUAAAUCCAGAGAGGCCAGGAGUUCACCCUAACUGGAAGAGAGCCUCUCCUCUCCAAAAAGGGACCUCUGCACAGUCAGCAGUCCAGCAGUCUGCUGUUUGGACUGAAAAAGGAACUGGCCAAAUGCCAGGAUGAAAGUUUUCUUUUUUAGCAACAUGUUCAUCGUUGUCUUCAUCAAAGUGACUAUAAAAAAAAGCCACACAAAAGAAUGAUAUAAUCCUGGACCUGUCCUCUGUCGUUUAUAGUAUAAGCAAGAUGUACUAGUGCAAAUAGGUGUGGACAGAUUGAAGAUGCAUUAUGGUGAACCAGCAAAAAAAAGAAAGAAAGAAAAGAAUUCACAGCCAAACACAAAAGGGAUAAUAGCAAGAGUUAACAGAAAGCACAUACAAUACUCCUAUAGGACUGUCCUCUGGAAUUGAAAAUUUAUUGCGUCCACUAUUUUACUCCUAACUUAUUCCUGCCAUCCCGUCAGGACUGCCUUUGGACAACCAAAAUGGCCUGUGAGAGUGCUUUGCUAAAUCUAGUUCUUCAGGUAAAGACAGUUCUUUCUCCUAAGAGGAGUUCUGUUGGCAGAUUUUAAUCUUAACAAUAUACUUUUUCUCCCCACUACAGGUGAUGAAGGGUGGAAGAGGUUCAGGUUGUAAUGGGUCAUCAACUACACUUGACCUAGAACAGGUCCUUAGGCAGGAGGUCAGGGCCUCCAGAGGCUUCCUGAGCAUACUGGAAUCCUGAGGGAAGGAACAGUCUCUAAGGGGGUGGUGAGAAAGAAGGUGCAGAACUGGAGUCUGGCCAAUUCCACUCGAGUAGAGAAAGCUGAGCCCCCUUCCCUUGGGAUGCCCAGUAGAGAGGAAGCUAGAAUCAGAGACACAGAGGCCAAGGAACUCUGACCAUAUAGAAACCUCCAGCCAAGAAGGUAAACCAAAUCAUUCCUUGGGAAGGUAUUCCUAGAUUUGCUUGGGAUGACAUAAUUUUUUUUUUAGUGGAUAUGCAUCUCUUAAUCCUGGGAAGAUUUAGAAUUACAUAGAGAUAUAACGAAGGCAAUCAAACCUCAUGGUGUUUUUUGUUUUUCUUUUUUGUUUUGAGAUGGAGUCUCACUCUGUUGCCCAGGCUGGAGUGCAAAGGCGCUAUCUUGGCUCACUGCAACCUCCGCCUCCUGGGUUCAGGCAAUUCUCCUGCCUCAGAUUCCUGAGUAGCUGGGAUUACAGGCGCGCGCUACCACAUCCAGCUAAUUUUUUGUAUUUUUAGUAGAGAUGGGGUUUCACCAGGUUAGCCAGGCUGGUUUCGAACUCCUGACCUCAAGUGAUACACCUGCCUUGGCCUCCAGAAGUGCUAGGAUUACAGGUGUGAGCCACCAUACCCGGCCUAAUUUGCAUUUCUCUAAUGCUCAAUGAUGUUGAGCUUUUUUUCAUAUGUUUGUUGGCUGCAUUAAUGUCUUCUUUUGAGAAGUGUCUUUUCCUGCCUAGACAUACUUUUAAUGUUUACUAAAGUGUCUAAAAAUUAACCUUGCACAGGCAUGAUGGUACACACCUGUAGUCCCUACUACUUGGGAGGCUGAGGCAGGGGGAUUGCUUGAGCCCAGGAGUUUGAGACCAACCUGGGAAACAUAGCAAGACCCCAUCUUUAAAAAAAAAUUAAAAUUAACUUUGCAAUGCUGGUUUAAAGUAUAUAACUUGCUGAUGUAGAUUUUUUAUUAUAAUUUUAAAAUCUUUUAAAAGUUUAUAUACUAUUUUGGAACUUUUUUAUUUUUUAUUUUAUUGUAUUAUUUUAUUUUAUUUUAGAGACGGAGUCUCACUCUGUUGCCCACACUGGAGUGCAGUGGCGCGAUCUCGGCUCACUGCAAGCUCCGCCUCCUGGGUUCACGCCAUUCUACUGCCUCAGCCUCCUGAAUGGCUGGGACUACAGGCGCCCACCAACAUGCCCGGCUAAUUUUUUGUAUUUUUAGUAAAGACCGGGUUUCACCAUGUUAGCCAGGAUGGUCUCGAUCUCCUGACCUUGUGAUCCGCCCGCCUCGGCCUCCCAAAGUGCUGGGAUUACAGGCUUGAGCCACCGCACCCGGCCCUAUUUUAGAACUUUUAAGAUAAAUUACAACUUACUGUAUGUAUUAGUUUAAUGUAUUUGUUUAAUGAGAAUUCCUUAAGAAUUUGGAAAAGUGUGUUAAUCAGAAAAUUGAUGUAUUUGAAAAAAUAAUCAAAUUUUUAAAUUAAUAAAUGCAAUGUAAAAUGUUUAAAAUGAUUAACCAAGUGGCUCAGACAUUGUUUGUUAGAUUUAUAAAUAGCAUAAUAAAAUGGAAAUGUUUAAUGUAAAAGCUUGAGAUUUUAAAUGUGAAAGUAGUGAAUAUUAAUUUUUAAAAACCCAAGUAGUGUUGUAUGAAAGGAGAGAAAAUUGGCACAACUCUUGACAAGGAUGAAAGAGGCCCUCAAGCCUGACAACACACAUACAGUUAAGGCAUUGCCACCUACUUCGUGGCAUCUGACCAUCCUUAAAAAAUAAUUAAAAAAAAACAACGUAACUUUUUAACUUUUUUUUUUUUUUUUUGAGACAGGGUCUCACUCUGUCACCCAGGCUGGAGUGGACCUCGGAUCACUGCAACUUCCACCUCCCAGGCUCAAGUGAUUCUCCCACCUCAGCCUCCUGAGUAGUUGGGACAGAAGGCACUCGCCACCACACCUGCUUUUUUUUUUCUUUUUCUUUUUGGCAGAAACAGGGUUUCUCCAUGUUGCCCAGGCUGGUCUCAAACUCUGAGCUCAAGUGAUCCACCUGCCUGGGCCUCUUAAAGUGCUGGGAUUACAGGCAUGAGCCACUGUGCCCAGCCCCAAGUAACUUUUUUUUUUUUUUUGAUGGAGUCUUGCUCUGUCGCCCAGGCUGGAGUGCAGUGGCACAGUCUUGGCUCACUGCAACCUCCUCCUCCCAGGUUCAGAGCGAUUCUCCUGCCUCAGCCUCCCGAGUAGCUGGGAUUACGCUACCAUGCCCAGCUAAACUUUUGUAUUUUUAGUAGAGAUGGGGUUUCACCACAUUGGCCAGGCUGGUCUCGAACUCCUGACCUCAAGGUAUCUGCCCACCUCGGCCUCCUAAAAUAUUAGGAUUACAGGCAUGAACCACCGUACCUGGCCCCUAAGUAACUUCUAAAUAAUCAUUUCAGCGUGAAAAGUUCUAAUGAGUUUUUAAAGUCUUUUAUUUUUAUCUUUCUUUUUAAUGCUACCAUAGAGAAAGUUCACCAGGAAAUAUCCAAAUCUAUAAAUGUAAAUUCUUCCUAAUAGUAAAUGUCCAAGAAAAGUGCAUUUGAGUUGGGUGAAUAGGCGGCAAGUGUGCAGAGUUGGGAAGGCGAGCCAGAGGCUAAUCAGAAUGACACAAUACAAACUCUGACUUCUUACCUUCUCUCCAGACUUGUUUCUCCAGUUGCCUACAGACCUGCAAUUGAACAUCCUUGCCUCAUCUUCAACUUUGCAUUUCAAAAACUUAGCUCAUCACUUCCUCAUCCCCAUCUCUCUAUUCUUGGCCUCAGCCAAAAGGCUUCCUGUCAUAAAUAAUGUGUUUAUUGCACCAUAAUCAGCCCAAUACAACAGGCUGGUCACCUUCCAGUCAUUUUUUCACUCUUUCCUCUCCUUCUCUUUUACUCUAAAUCCAUCAGUCAGUCCUGACGAGCCUUUCAUGCUGGGUCCACUUUGCUCCAAUUUCCUCAGUCACCACCAUCAGCUAUGGCCAUGUUACCUUAUGCCAGGAUUACUGCAGCAGUCUUCUGUCAAUUUCUCCUGCUGCAGUUCAUUCCACACAGAGCUCCCACAAGAGCCAUCAAACUUUGUUUUCGCCUCUAAUUUGUAUUUGCAUAGACGUUUAUGGGCUCCCCAAUGUCUGUCAAAUAAAACCCAAGCUCCUUUUGCUAUCCAAACGUUUUCACCAAUAGGGGUACUCUUAAUCUUCAUCUUUUAUUAUUUCUUGAUGGGACCCCUCUGUUUUUGUCAAGCUAAUUUGCUGGUCCCAUUCUCCAAUGCCGUUGUGCCUACACACAUAUCUUUCU